GCCAGAUGGGCUACAGUCUAUAUAUCACAGACUCAGACACAACUGAAGCGACUUAGCACGCACACAACCUGACUUGGAAUCUCGGCUCUGCUGUUUUUGUCGAGGAACGAGGAAAGAGACGGCUUUUCCAAACAGGAGCGCCAGCACCAGAGAAGAGGCCUCAAGUGAGCAGCGGUUCAGAAAGCUCCUUUGGGCUCGGAAAGAAAGCAUCCCUGGGGAUGGGGUGGGUGGCCCUUUCAUGCUUAGGGGGAAAGGCCAGCCUGGGACAGCUCGUCCCCUGAGCAGUUCAGGGCCCCUGAUCUCUCUGCAGUCAUGGCAAGGUCACCCUGGCACAGCAUUAAGAGUAAAGGGAGCUCCUUGCCAGGAAGACCGCACCCUGGAGACAGAAGCCCCGCCCAGCUCCCCCCAGGGGCCCGUUCACUUCAUCCCAAGCGGAGGCUGGUCCCGCGUCCUGGUCCCAGGUGUGCCGUGGGCCCCCACAUCCUACGUGCAGGGAGAAUAACCUGAACAUAACAGAGUUGAAUUCCUUUCUCCUGGUACUUUGGAAAUUAUCACUCUUUUCUCCCUUGGGGGGUGUGCUCUCUCUGACACGUGUUGUUCCUUUGAUUUGUUUCCCUGGCAAUAAAGACAGAAGACUGAAGGCACCAUCA